AGACAAGAAACAUUUAGUACUAUGGUUUCGGCCCAUAGCCAGGUAUAGACCUAUACCCUUGUUUU
rnacentral:tRNA from 1 species